rnacentral:rRNA from 1 species
GUAACGCGUGAGCAACCUGCCUAUGACAGUGGGAUAGCCUCGGAAACCGGGAUUAAUACCGCAUAAAAUCGUAGAAACACANGUUUCAACGGUCAAAGAUUUAUCGGUCAUAGAUGGGCUCGCGUCUGAUUAGCUAGUUGGUGAGAUAACAGCCCACCAAGGCGACGAUCAGUAGCCGGUCUGAGAGGAUGAACGGCCACAUUGGAACUGAGACACGGUCCAAACUCCUACGGGAGGCAGCAGGU